rnacentral:lncRNA from 1 species
AGUAAAAAUGGAGUUUCAAGAGACUGAUUCUCACUGGCACAAUUCCAUGGAAGUCAGAUUUCUAAGCUGCAAGUGUCGUUGCUGUUCCUGGUUGUGCCUAUGAUGUCUGUGGUUGUACAGACUUAACAGAAAGUGCUUCAUUCCUCACUUCCCAGUAUUCCAUCCACACGAGAGCACUGAUGGCAGAAAUCUUCUUGUGCUCCCCUGGGCUGGUGAGUACAUGUGGGGAAUUACUCACGUCAAGUAAAUGAUGGCACUCAUGUGAAUGGUGCACAUGGAAUAUUCUUUGAAAUUAUUUUGUGAUCAAAGCAGAGAGAGGAAAUAAAAAUGAAUGUAUUUGCUGAAUACUGCA